CAGUCGCCGCGGGAACACGAAGGGGGCUAGCGUUGUUCGGAAUUACUGGGCGUAAAGCGCACGUAGGCGGAUAUUUAAGUCAGGGGUGAAAUCCCAGGGCUCAACUCUGGAACUGCCUUUGAUACUGGGUAUCUUGAGUAUGGAAGAGGUGAGUGGAAUUCCGAGUGUAGAGGUGAAAUUCGUAGAUAUUCGCAGGAACACCAGUGGCGAAGGCGGCUAACUGGUCCAUAACUGACGCUGAGGUGCGAAAGCGUGGGGAGCAAACAGGAUUAGAUACCCCAGUAGUCCCUGUCUCUUAUAC
rnacentral:rRNA from 1 species